rnacentral:rRNA from 1 species
UACGUAGGGGGCAAGCGUUGUUCGGAAUUACUGGGCGUAAAGGGCGCGUAGGCGGUCCGGUAAGUCGGUUGUGAAAGUCGGGGGCUCAACCCUCGGAUGCCGAUCGAUACUGUCGGGCUAGAGUCCGGAAGAGGCGAGUGGAAUUCCUGGUGUAGCGGUGAAAUGCGCAGAUAUCAGGAGGAACACCGAUGGCGAAGGCAGGUCUCUGGGCCAUAACUGACGCUGAGAAGCGAAAGCAUGGGGAGCGAACAGG